rnacentral:rRNA from 1 species
GACGAACGCUGACGGCGUGCUUAACACAUGCAAGUCGAAGGGAGUGGCGAACGGGUGAGUAACACGUGAGUAACCUGCCCUUUUCUUUGGGAUAAGCCUGGGCAACUGGGUCUAAUACUGGAUGGAUUGGGAUGGGCUCGCGGCUUAUCAGCUUGUUGGUGGGGUAAUGGCUUACCAAGGCUUUGACGGGUAGCCGGGCUGAGAGGGUGGACGGUCACACUGAGACGGCCAUACGGCCCAGAGUACUACGGGGGGCAGAAGUGGGGAAUAUUGGACAAUGGACGAAAGUCUGAUGCAGCGAGGUUGAGUGGGGGAUGAGGGCUUUCGGGUGGUAUACGCCUGUCGGCAGCGGAAUGGUAGUGGGUAAAGAAGCGCCGGCUAACUACGUGCCAGCAGCCGCGGUAAUAC